UGACAAGGUCAACUGUGGAAUCUAUGACAGUUACCUGGAUAAUGAUAACUUCAACCAAGCAAAGGGCUUCAACUAUCAUCAAGGCCCAGAAUGGUUGUGGCCUGUCGGCUACUUCCUGCGUGCCAAACUUUACUUUGCCAAGGAAAUGGGAAAGGAGACGUAUGUCCAAACUGUUAACCUGGUGAAAAACGUUCUCUCUCGUCACGCUAUACACUUGGAGAGUUCACCUUGGAAGGGUCUCCCUCAGCUGACUAAUGAGAAUGGCCAGCAUUGCCAGUUCAGCUGUGAGAGCCAAGCCAUAUCCAUGGCUUCCAUACUGGAAGUUUUGUAUGACCUUUGACCAAGACAGCAUAAUAAACAAUGACCUUAAACACUUAAAUAUUGCCCCAAUGCUCAUAGAACUCACAUUAUCUUGGUUUCCUAAUACAAUUAGAAUCAGAACCUAAAAUCAAUAAACUCAAUCAGAGUGACUACAUUUUAGACAAUAUCCAACCCUAGCAUGAUGGCCCUGUAAUAAGAAUGUAAAUUCCGUCUCUGAAGUAUUUGGUUUUCACAAAGCCAUUGCAUUUUACCAUGUAUUACCAGCAAUAUUAUAGAUGUUGAUAUGAUGUCAUGUACGAGUAUGUUUUUUUGGCCCUGUAUUGAUAGCAGAUAUAAACAGGAUACAGGGGGUAAUGACGGGUAUGACAUUAAUCAAUCAUCCCUGGAUAGAAAAAACACAGCUGCAUGGUUAGUGUUCCAAUUUUGACAAAAAAGUAUACUACAAUUAUGUUGAUACAACAAUCUUGUGGUUCUUGGGUAAUCCACGGGAUGUCACCAAAUAUGGCAAGCCUCAGAAAAUGUUAGCUAGGGAUGGAUGAAAGCAACAAGCAACCUAAAGUUAAGUGUUGUUCCGCACAAAGCAAGAACUGCUUGCCAUAGAUUCUCCAAGUAGAAUUCUACAGAUUUCGACUAGAGGAACUAACAGUUUUCCUUUGUGGAGCAAGCUGUCUACGUUGCUUUAUAACCUUCCACAGGUGCUCAAUUGGGUUGAAAUCUAAAGACUAUAAAAGCGAUACUAUAUGAGAGGGUCAUAAUAAUCAUCAAAACAUUCGAUGAGCCCUAAUUUUCCAAGUGUUUCCUUUGAUUUCCUCACCUGUCUGUAAGGUGUAUUCCCCUUUUUUUCGUGUUGCACAGCACGAUUUUAAAAGCAAUGUAUUUCUAUUGGUAGUCUCAC